rnacentral:ncRNA from 1 species
AAAAUAAAAGGAAAUGGUGUUCUUCCUUACCCAAACCGCGUAAAUCGCUGAUGACGCCUGAUUUUUA